AGCGAAUGCUUUGGGGUGGGGUGACUGCGUACCUUUUGUAUAAUGGGUCAGCGACUUAUAUUCUGUAGCAAGGUUAACCGAAUAGGGGAGCCGGAGGGAAACCGAGUCUUAAUUGGGCGUUAAGUUGCAGGGUAUAGACCCGAAACCCGGUGAUCUAGCCAUGGGCAGGUUGAAGGUUGGGUAACACUAACUGGAGGACCGAACCGACUAAUGUUGAAAAAUUAGCGGAUGACCUGUGGCUGGGGGUGAAAGGCCAAUCAAACCGGGA
rnacentral:rRNA from 1 species